GACGAACCGUGCGAACGUUAUUCGGAUUCACUGGGCUUAAAGGGCGCGUAGGCGGGCUGCCAAGUCUGGGGUGAAAUCCUCCGGCUCAACCGGAGAACGGCCUCGGAUACUGGCGGUCUCGAGGGGGGUAGGGGCGUGCGGAACUAAGGGUGGAGCGGUGAAAUGCGUUGAUAUCCUUAGGAACUCCGGUGGCGAAGGCGGCACGCUGGACCCCGUCUGACGCUGAGGCGCGAAAGCCAGGGGAGCAAACGGG
rnacentral:rRNA from 1 species